UAUCUGGUUGAUUCUGCCAGUAGUCAUAUGCUUGUCUCAAAGAUUAAGCCAUGCAUGUCUAAGUAUAAGCACUUUAUACUGUGAAACUGCGAAUGGCUCAUUAAAUCAGUUAUCGUUUAUUUGAUAGUACCUUACUACAUGGAUACCUGUGGUAAUUCUAGAGCUAAUACAUGCUAAAAACCUCGACUUCGGAAGGGGUGUAUUUAUUAGAUAAAAAACCAAUGCCCUUCGGGGCUCCUUGGUGAUUCAUAAUAACUUAACGAAUCGCAUGGCCUUGCGCCGGCGAUGGUUCAUUCAAAUUUCUGCCCUAUCAACUUUCGAUGGUAGGAUAGUGGCCUACCAUGGUGGCAACGGGUAACGGGGAAUUAGGGUUCGAUUCCGGAGAGGGAGCCUGAGAAACGGCUACCACAUCCAAGGAAGGCAGCAGGCGCGCAAAUUACCCAAUCCCGACACGGGGAGGUAGUGACAAUAAAUACUGAUACGGGGCUCUUUUGGGUCUCGUAAUUGGAAUGAGUACAAUCUAAAUCCCUUAACGAGGAACAAUUGGAGGGCAAGUCUGGUGCCAGCAGCCGCGCGGUAAUUCCAGCUCCAAUAGCGUAUAUUAAAGUUGUUGCAGUUAAAAAGCUCGUAGUUGAACCUUGGGUCUGGCUGGCCGGUCCGCCUCACCGCGAGUACUGGUCCGGCUGGACCUUUCCUUCUGGGGAACCUCAUGGCCUUCACUGGCUGUGGGGGGAACCAGGACUUUUACUGUGAAAAAAUUAGAGUGUUCAAAGCAGGCCUUUGCUCGAAUACAUUAGCAUGGAAUAA
rnacentral:ncRNA from 1 species